AGUUUGAUCCUGGCUCAGGACGAACGCUGGCGGCGUGCCUAAUACAUGCAAGUCGAGCGGCGUUUCAAGAAGCUUGCUUUUUGAAACUUAGCGGCGGACGGGUGAGUAACACGUGGGCAACCUGCCCUUUAGACUGGGAUAACUCCGGGAAACCGGAGCUAAUACCGGAUAAUCCCUUUCUCCACCUGGAGAGAGGGUGAAAGAUGGCUUCGGC
rnacentral:rRNA from 1 species